UGUGUCGUAGCUUAAUUUGUGAAGGCUAACCCUGACCUCGUGAGGAUACAUUUGAAAUGCGUAACGCUGGACUGUAGAAAGUGAGGCUUGGGGGGUUGCAAAUUCCGGGCAAAGCGGUCUGAUGUUUGCUGCCGUCAAGUGAUUUAUCCAGAAUUCCAAGCACGGUCUCUUUUACAUACAGCGCUUCCUCGCUCUAGACGCUCUUUACUUACGGCCGAGAUUUCCAAGAGGAACUUGUUCUUCUCAUCAUCCACGUUGAUGAUGCCGCCUUGAUUCUGCUGCCUUAAGUAGAGCUCCGCCAUACCCUGCUGCAACUGGAGCAUUUCUGGAGUGAGAGAAAAAUUGGGCUGCUUGGUCAUCUCCACCGGAGGGGGAUAGUCCUUCUCCGCCAUGUCUUCCGGAGAUAUUGGCAGACGGCAGACCGGACACAGAACCUGGAACAGCCAGGGGGGCCCACACUUAGCACCAGGCGCAAAAGCGUAUCCACGAAAAUUGAAGCGAAGCAACACGACACAGGCAACUCACAUGUUCCAACGAUUUGUAUCUGGGGAAUGCCCUUCCUUCUACAGCAUUAUAUGCCACAAGUAUCAUAAAUAAAAAAAUUAAAAAAAAGCUAAACCUAAGCA